GAAGUAACACCGGGAGCUACUUUCUGCUCUGCAGGAUGACCUAAUAGACCUAACAGCAAAAGGGAUACUGGAGUAAUUAGUGACUAGGAAGCAGGACUUCAGAGAGGGUCACUAGGAAGGACACCUGGUAUCAGACUGUAUGAAACUCUGUUGGCAUCUUGUGGAGUCACAGAAGUGCUGGUGGCUGCCUUCUGGGUGACAGAAGCUUUCUUACCUUCAAGCCAUCACAGAACACUGCCUGUAGACCAGGAGAUCUAUGUUUCAAAUAGAUACAUAUCUCAGAACUAUUCUUUGAAGAUUCAUUGUAUUUCAACUUGUCAUCUUGCUUGAGAACAGGACACUAGCACUCAAAUUCCAGUGCUGAUGCACCAUCUGAGAAAGAGACUGGCAUACAGAACAAAAGAUAACCUAUGAAUGAUGGAAGCAGAUUUUGAAUGUAUUAGUUUUAAAGGCGUUCAGAUAAGAUGACACAAGGAACAUGAAAGGAGUUAUCUGGGAGUCUGACAGAAAGAAAAUGAAGAUAUAUGUGUGCCAUCAAGGUUAGCAUUUGCUUUGGAAAAAUAAAAUG